GUGCCAGCUCCAAUAGACCGUAAGCUACGGUCUCAAAAUCGUAGCCUACGGUCGGUCUUUAGCAUGUGUAAUCGGACCGGGUUGAACCUGAUUUGACCCAAAUUUAAAGAAUUAAACUAUUUGAACCGAGUCCACGUAAAUAAAAUCAGAUUUUUAAAGUGAAUCUCCACCACAAACGCCCUAUAACAUAACCUACCAUCUUCAUCUUCUUCCUCAAGUGCUUCAAACCUCAAUAGCUACCAAUCUCUCUAAAAUCUUCGUUCCUUAGCCAAAUCAAGCGAUUCAAGAGCCUAACUUGGCUGUUUUUUCGAGAGUAACAAAACCCUACCCUCGGUUUUCACCGAAAACGCCCAGAUUCACACAAAUUAGAUCGAGUUCGAAGAACCCUAAAAUUCAAAUUUGGGGUUUUUUGCUCAAACUUCAUAAGCAAGCUAUUUAAGUGUUCUCUAGCCCUUUUAAACUAAAAAGGCAUGAUUUUUCCUACAAUUUUCCUCUGAUUUGAUGAAGUCAAGCUGAUACUAAUACACGCUAGAACAAUUGUAUAAUCCGUGAGACCUCCCCACACUUGUUCUAAACUAUGGCUCAACUUGUUAACUAGUUAAAUCAUUACCCAAGAUAUUCCCCAAAAUUCACAACUUCAAAUAAAAUUCAGAAUAUGGUUCAUUAACUAGCUUUAAAACAGAUUCAAAGACAUUCCCCUAAGCCAUAACAUCAAUCCAACCCCUCAUGUAACAAUUUUUCCCGUUUUAAUUCAUUAACCAAGAUAAAAUCACAAUUUCAUGAAUCAUUACAUGUCUAUUCCAUCCUUAAAUGACUAUCUAAACAUGAACAAAGAAUGAACAUAACAAAACUACCUUGACUUCAUCAAAUCAGAGGAAAAUUGUAGGAAAAAAAUCAUACCUUUUUAGUUUAGAAGGGCUAGAGAACACUUAAAUAGAUUGCUUAUGAAGUUUGAGCAAAACGCCCCAAAUUUGAAUUUUAGGGUUCUUCGAACUCGAUCUGAUUUGUAUGAAUCUGGGCGUUUUCAAUGAAAACCGAGGGUAGGGUUUUGUUACUCUCGAAAAAAUAGCCAAGUUAGGCUCUUGAAUCGCUUGAUUUGGCUAAGGAACAAAGAUUUUAGAGAGCUUGGUAGCUAUGGAGGUUUGAAGCACUUGAGGAAGAAGAUGAAGAUGGUAGGUUAUGUUAUACGGUGUUUGUGGUGGAGAAUCACUUUAAAAAUCUGAUUUUAUUUAGGUGGACUCGGUUUAAAUAGUUUAAUUGUUUAAAUUUGGGUCAAAUCAGGUUCAACGCGGUCCCAUUACACAUGCUAAAGACCGACCGUAGGCUACGGUUUUGAUACCGUAGCUUACGGUCUAUUGGAGCUGGCACCAAAACGAUCAGAGUUUCAUAACCGUAGCCUACGGUUAUGAACCCGUAAGCUACGGUUCACUUUCAAUGGUGGACAGAAGUUUUAAACCGUAACCUACGGUUACGGAUCGUAAGCUACGGUUGGCUCUUUAAUUUUUUUUAAUGGUUUAAAGUUGUUGUUUGUAGUAUCAACUAAUUUAAUUUAAUUUAUUCAUUUCUCUUA